UGUAAUUUUAAUCAAAUCCAAUUCCAAAGGCGUUCUGAACUUCUGCGACUGCAAGCCAAAGGUGAAACCGAACUAACCGUAACGCGUUCUCCAUUAGGACAGACGAGACGGCGGACUCACUGGCGAGUUUUGGUUCCAGUCACCGGCUCACCGCCUCUUUUCUCGUACUACCGGUGCUCCUGUUUGGCCUCCGUUCCGCGGCUGCUGACGUUUCCACAUAAACAAACUGCCGCCGACUCGACUCCACCUUCGCAUUUCUCCGGCGUUUCUCCGAUGUUUCUCCGGCGAUCCUCUAGCAAUCUUGUAGCGCUCGGCGACUUCAAGUUAACAGACUCGACGAUGCCCUGGGUGCAAUGAGGUUGCAGGAUGGCAGGAUUAAAGUGUAUAUACAUGUUGCUGAUCCAACUAGACAUGUUCAGCCUGGGAGUAUGUUUGACAAGGAUGCAAUGAAAAGAGGAACUUCUGUUUGCCUGCCCACUGCCACUUAUCCCAUGUAUUCAGAGAAACUUGCCAUGCAGGGAAUGAGAGUGAACUCAGGCUCCUUUCAGAGGCAGCAGCUCUCAGGUUACAAUGGCGCCAGGGACAGGUUGGCUUUAUUUAUAUGUCACCAUGGACAAGCUGACCCUGCAAUGUGACUUGUUUCCGAGAUGAUGAUUCUCUGCAGGGAAACUGUAGCCACUUUUGGUUCAUGUAAUAACAUUCCUUCACCGUACACAGGACAGCCUCAAUCAAAUAUUUAUGUAUCUGCAUUUGCACAUCUUCCAGCAGGUCCUGUCAGGAGCUCUGCCAAAAUAAUCCGAGCUGCUGAAAUUGAUUUCAGGAAACCAACAUGACAGUAGUUCUGGGGCUUCCUGGUUAUGUUCAGUUCACAUCUCCAAUUUGUAGUUAUAUGGACCUUCUUGCUCAUUAUCAGAUCAAAGCAUCUCUUAAAGGUGAAUCUCCUCUUUUCUCUUCUUGCCAGCUUGAAGGGAUGGCAUCUAUAGUGAACAUGCAUACUAGAAUGGCAAGGAAGCUCAGCAGCAGAAGUCUUCGGUAUUGGAUAAUUGAAUUGCUGAGAAGGCAACCGAAAGAUAAACGAUACUGUGCAUUGUUCCUUAGCACUUGCAGUUUAUUCAUUGUCUUGUGACAACAAAUUUUGUUGAACCAUGAAGUCUUCUGUUGCCUCAUUCAUUGAAACUAGACAUAUGACAUCUCCGAGAAGAUGUAUCGAGAAGCAUUGAUUAUUCUUUAGAAGAUUUACUUCCCUGGCUGUAUCUGUCACAAGCUUACACUGUCUCAGAUUGCUCGAUGUCCAACCAUGCGAUCGAAAGCAAAAAUUGCUAUAAGGCCCAAUAUUUGGUUGAAAUGGUUUGGUAAUGCAUCAUCUGAAACAGAAAGAUGUUUGUUGGCAAUCUUGUCUUUGGUAUAGAGAGCAUGAAUCAUUAUCAUUACACCUGGAAAUAGGAAACUGAGAAAAAGGUUGAACUUGUGAGGACAAGAGGUUUGGGCCUUGAUGGCUAUUAGGCCGGUGUAGCAGAUCAUUAUAUGGGCCAAAUUUGGGCCUUCCGAUUCGUUAAUGAGAAGAUGGAAGAUGCAUGUGAUAGUUUGAAUUGUUGCAUUUGUAAUUAGGGUUGGCCGAUUUGAAUUAUUUGAGUUCGAAUUAUUGUUUGGCUUAAAUGAAGUUAUAUUAAUAAUUCAAUAAAAUUAUUUAUACAUUUUUU